rnacentral:rRNA from 1 species
AUUGAACGCUGGCGGCAGGCCUAACACAUGCAAGUCGAGCGGAUGAAGGGAGCUUGCGCCUGGAUUCAGCGGCGGACGGGUGAGUAAUGCCUAGGAAUCUGCCUGGUAGUGGGGGAUAACGUCCGGAAACGGGCGCUAAUACCGCAUACGGCCUGAGGGAGAAAGUGGGGGAUCUUCGGACCUCACGCUAUCAGAUGAGCCUACUUGGGGUUAGCUAGUUUGUGGUGUAAAGGCCUACCAAGGCGACGAUCCGUAACUGGUCUGAGAGGAUGAUCAGUCACCCUACAACUUAAGCACGGUCCUCACUCCUUCGUGAGGCAGCAGUUGGGCAUAUUGGACCGCGUGCGUAAGCCCGUUCCAGCCGUGCCGCGUGUGUUAAGACGGUCUUCCGUUUGUAAAGCACUUUAACUUGGGAGAAACAGCAGUAAGUUAAUACCUUGCUUUUUUGACGUUACCAACAGAAUAAGCACCGGCUAACUUCGUG